rnacentral:tRNA from 5 species
GGAGGGAUGUCCGAGUGGUUAAAGGAGACGGGCUGUAAACCCGUUGGCUCUGCCUACGCAGGUUCGAAUCCUGCUCCCUCCA